rnacentral:rRNA from 1 species
UACAGAGGUGGCAAGCGUUGUUCGGAAUUACUGGGCGUAAAGGGCGCGUAGGCGGCCUUCUUAGUCGGACGUGAAAUCCCCAGGCUUAACUUGGGAACUGCGUCCGAUACUGGGAGGCUUGAGUGCGGGAGAGGGAUGUGGAAUUCCAGGUGUAGCGGUGAAAUGCGUAGAUAUCUGGAGGAACACCGGUGGCGAAGGCGGCAUCCUGGACCGACACUGACGCUGAGGCGCGAAAGCUAGGGGAGCAAAUGGG